UCGCUUCAGCAGCACAUAUACUAAAACUGGAAUGAUAUAGAGAAGAUUAGCAUGGCCCCUGUGCAAGGAUGACAUGCAAAUUUGUGAAGCAUUCCAUAUUUUU
rnacentral:snRNA from 1 species